rnacentral:rRNA from 1 species
CGGACGGGUGAGUAACGCGUAAGAAUCUGCCUACAGGUUCGGGACAACAUCUCGAAAGAGGUGCUAAUACCGGAUGUGCCGCGAGGUAAAAGCUUUAGUGCCUGUAGAUGAGCUUGCGUCUGAUUAGCUAGAUGGUGGGGUAACGGCCUACCAUGGCGGCAAUCAGUAACUGGUCUGAGAGGAUGACCAGUCACACUGGGACUGAGACACGGCCCAG